GUUAAGUGACUAAGCGUACACGGUGGAUGCCUAGGCAAUCAGAGGCGAAGAAGGACGUGCUAAUCUGCGAAAAGCUUGGAUGAGUUGAUAAGAAGCGUUUAAUCCAAGAUAUCCGAAUGGGGAAACCCGAUGGAUGAAGAAUCCAUCAUUUCAUUAUGAAUCCAUAGUAAUGAAAGGCAAACCGGGAGAACUGAAACAUCUAAGUACCCCGAGGAAAAGAAAUCAACCGAGAUUUUGUAAGUAGCGGCGAGCGAAAGCGAAAGAGCCAGUGAGUGAUAGCAGCAAAGACAGAAGAAUUGGCUGGGAAGCCAAGCGACACAGGGUGAUAGCCCCGUAUU
rnacentral:rRNA from 1 species